rnacentral:rRNA from 1 species
CCCUUAGAUGUUCUGGGCCGCACGCGCGCUACACUGACGAAUGCAACGAGCUUAUAACCUUGGCCGAAAGGUCUGGGUAAUCUCCAAAUUUCGUCGUGAUGGGGAUAGAUUAUUGCAAUUAUUAAUCUUCAACGAGGAAUGCCUAGUAAGCGCAAGUCAUCAGCUUGCGUUGAUUACGUCCCUGCCCUUUGUACACACCGCCCGUCGCUCCUACCGAUUGAAUGGUCCGGUGAAGCGUUCGGACCGUGGCCUUUGGACGGUUCGCCGUCUGUUGGCUGCGGGAAGUUCGUUAAACCUUAUCAUUUAGAGGAAGGAGAAGCCGUAACA